AGAGUUUGAUCAUGGCUCAGAAUGAACGUUGGCGGCGUGGAUUAGGCAUGCAAGUCGAGCGGUAGGGAACUGCUCACUUCAAGUUGUCGUAGCUGGAGUUGCAAAACUCCGGCCGAAUUCUUGCGAAUUCAGCUACAACUUCGAGGUGAGCAGUUCCUGGGAGCGGCGAAAGGGAGAGUAACGCGUAGUUUACGUACCCCGAGGACCGGAAUAGCUCACCGAAAGGUGAGGUAAUGCCGGAUGAUGUCUUCGGACUAAAGGUGUGAUUCCGCCCUGGGAGCGGACUGCGUUGUACUAGCUAGUUGGUAGGGUAAUGGCCUACCAAGGCAAUGAUGCAUAGCGGGUGUGAGAGCAUGACCCGUCUCACUGGGACUGAGACACUGCCCAGACACCUACGGGUGGCUGCAGUCGAGAAUCUUCGGCAAUGGACGAAAGUCUGACCGAGCGACGCCGCGUGUGGGAUGAAGGCCUUCGGGUUGUAAACCACUGUCGUAGAGGAGGAAAUUGAUUGGGGUUCUCCCCAGUCAUUGACCUAUUCUAGGAGGAAGGACGGGCUAAGUUCGUGCCAGCAGCGGCGGUAAUAC
rnacentral:rRNA from 1 species